UAAGACCUGAGCCAAGCAGCCAGCCAGUGCUUGAUUGCAGCAGCCAUUUUAGAUCCCUGGCUGCCUAUAUAAACAGACCAGUUUCCUGUUGGCAGGCAAGGCAGCAACAUCUCCUGGCUGUAAGGCUUCAUGUAUUAUCCUGGAGGAGAUUAUGAGAUUGUGAGUGAGAAUGAGGAGGAGAAUCCCCUGGAAGACUGUCCUGAGAACGUGGAACAGCAUGGUGUAUUACCAGGGGAGUUUUCAGACUGUGUUUUCCAGAGCCCUGAUGAGGAAGAGGCCUAUGAGGGUCAGUGCAUGUCAGAAGAGCAACUGGAAGAUCUUCUGGAUAAGAAACAGGUUGUUAAUCCCAUUUAUCCUGAAAGAGGUUUCAAGGAUCUACAAGGUAUCAUCUCCACCCAAGGAUUCCUCUCGGACAGAGUUCCUUUGUAUUUCCUCACUGGGGGAGAGCUUUAGUCAGAACCUGAGCCUAGUGCCCCCUGAGAUUGCUCAGAUUGAGGAGAAGUCUCGCAAAUGCCCAGAGUACCACAAGGGCUUCAGUUGGUGCUUGGACCUCAUCAAACACCAGAGAACACACACUGGGGAAAAGCCCUACAUGUGCAAUGAGUGUGGAGAAAACUUCAGUGUGAGUUCCCACCUCUCCACCCAUAAGAGAACCCACACCACGGAGAAACCCUUCCACUGCAGAGAUUGCAGCUACAGCUUCCACCGCAACUCACACCUGGGCAACCACCAGUGAACCCACACUGUGGAGAAGCUAUUUGAAUGUAUUGCCUGCAGGAAGAGCUUCAGUGACUUCUUGACACUUGCGCAGCACCAGCAGACUCACACAGGUGAGAAACCCUAUGUGUGUGUGGAGUGUGGGAAAAACUUCAUCCAGAGCUCCCAUCUUGUCUGGCACUGGAAGAUCCACACUAAGGAGAAGCUGUAUAAAUGCACUGACUGUAGCAAGGGUUUCCUGUACAAGACCCAUGUUACACAGCACCACAAACCCCACCUGGGGUAGGACAUAGGGGCAGGUCCUCCUGGGGCCCUGCAAACCAUGGACCUGCCCAUAAAAAUGGAGGUCUAAGUACAUGCUAGUGAUAGAUACAAAGAAGAAACCACAAGUGAUGGGGUCACCCUAGUGAAAGUUGAUUGUUCUAAGAUUAAUGGGGGGUGGGGGCAUGGGGCUUGGGAGGAACAGCAGGUGUGAGCUUGUUCUUGGCUGGAGUUAAUUGUUAAUUGAAGUCAACGAGGACUGGAAGGUGGUAGCAAGAAAUGGGGAAGAAGUUGGGUGCUCUGGGUAUUUGGUGGUAAGGAGUUCUGAUUGUUUGGAUUACUGCCAAUGGAAGGACAAGAGGGAAAGUAUUGUUAUUAUCAUUUUAGGAAGACAAAGAUGACAAAUUAGUCACUGGAACUUGGAACCAGUACCCUGGGAAAUGCCUUACUUAUUGAACUAAGGUUUCUUUCUUAGUUCAAUAGGUGCCCCUAAUUCUCUUUGGCAGCACCUCCAGCAAUUGCAUCCACUUUUGUUGUCGUUGUUGUUAUUAUUAUUAAAUCAUAUUUAUUGUA